rnacentral:rRNA from 1 species
CAGCCGCCGCGGUAAUACGUAGGUGGCAAGCGUUGUCCGGAAUUAUUGGGCGUAAAGGGCUCGCAGGCGGUUUCUUAAGUCUGAUGUGAAAGCCCCCGGCUCAACCGGGGAGGGUCAUUGGAAACUGGGAAACUUGAGUGCAGAAGAGGAGAGUGGAAUUCUACGUGUAGCGGUGAAAUGCGUAGAGAUGUGGAGGAACACCAGUGGCGAAGGCGACUCUCUGGUCUGUAACUGACGCUGAGGAGCGAAAGCGUGGGGAGCGAACAGGAUUAGAUACCCCUGUAGUCCCUGUCUCUUAUAC